rnacentral:rRNA from 1 species
AGUGAACGCUGGCGGUAGGCCUAACACAUGCAAGUCGAACGGCAACACAGUAAGAGCUUGCUCUUACGGGUGGCGAGUGGCGGACGGGUGAGGAAUACAUCGGAAUCUACUUUUUCGUGGGGGAUAACGUAGGGAAACUUACGCUAAUACCGCAUACGACCUACGGGUGAAAGCAGGGGAUCUUCGGACCUUGCGCGAUUGAAUGAGCCGAUGUCGGAUUAGCUAGUUGGCGGGGUAAAGGCCCACCAAGGCGACGAUCCGUAGCUGGUCUGAGAGGAUGAUCAGCCACACUGGAACUGAGACACGGUCCAGACUCCUACGGGAGGCAGCAGUGGGGAAUAUUGGACAAUGGGCGCAAGCCUGAUCCAGCCAUACCGCGUGGGUGAAGAAGGCCUUCGGGUUGUAAAGCCCUUUUGUUGGGAAAGAAAAGCGGCAGGUUAAUACCCCGCUGUUCUGACGGUACCCAAAGAAUAAGCACCGGCUAACUUCGUG